rnacentral:rRNA from 1 species
CACGCGGUAAAAAAAACCACCCACCCCGACUCUAUCCUCUCGAACCCACCCACUCCUCUCUCCCAUCGUGCUCCUCCAUCCAAUCCCCACAACUUUCCCCACCAAUCCGCCGCCGCAGCACCUGCCUCCUCACCCGGCCACCGCACCACCUGCCUUCCCACCCCGCCGCCAGCCCGGGCUCGCGCCGGCCCGUCGCCUCUCACCUCCAACCGCACCUCCUUGCCGGCCGUUGCGCCUUGUCCUUCUUCCUCUUGGUGCAGGAGUGCCCUCCUUCCUCCCCAUGUCGGAGCACCCCUGCCACCUUCUCCCCGUGGCACGCCGCCCCUCCACGCGACGGCCUCAACUCCUCCGUCCAGCAUGGGCCCUUUGUACCGUGCAGGCACCUCGCAACGGCCUAGAUCCGGCGACACCGGAGGCGUGCCCAGCGAGGUAGACUCCCGGCGAUGGAUCCGGGCAGGCAUCCGCCCCCAGCGCGCCUCCCGGCGGCGGAUUCGGGCCGGCAACUGCCCCCAGCACGGCCACAACGGCCGAUUUUCGUGUGUGCGGCGUCCAGUCCAACCAUGGCAUGCGUUGUCCCCUCGGGCCCCAAGGCGCCACCGUCGCCGACACUGCAAAGAGCUCACUGACCUUCAUCUUUCUCAUGCCCGCUGACAAGGACGUUGGUAGCGGUGACCAGGGCAGUUUUCACCUUCGACCAGGUGUGAAGUGCAUCCCCUCCCAUGCAGUUCACUUCCCCUGCAGGAGCGUUCUCCCGACGGCGGCAUCCCGGUAGUCAGGGCCUCAGGGCCAACUCACCCCCGCCCGCUCAUCCCCUGGCUUCCUUCCCACAAGCUCCUUCCCUGUUCACCUGCUCUCUCUCUCUCUCUCUGGCGUGCAGCUCGGCCAGCGCUGCAGCUCAUUGUUUUCCUUGUUAUUUUUUGAGAAAGAUUCAGUGUAGUACUUUUUGAGAAAGAUGUGUAGUGCAGCUCACAACAAAUGGUUACUACGGAUGAAGUUCAGUUUAUUUUGUGUGUCUAUACAAAUGAAGAUAAUUUUAUUCUACACAGGCAAUAGCUCACGGAGCAACACCGAUUAUCCCAUUGGGUGUGCAAUUCUUGUUUGCAGUGUAAGACAAUAAGUUUUGGGAAC